CCUACGGGAGGCAGCAGUGGGGAAUAUUGGGCAAUGGGCGCAAGCCUGACCCAGCAACGCCGCGUGAGGGAAGAAGGCUUUCGGGUUGUAAACUUCUUUUCUCAGGGACGAAGCAAGUGACGGUACCUGAGGAAUAAGCCACGGCUAACUACGUGCCAGCAGCCGCGGUAAUACGUAGGGAGCAAGCGUUAUCCGGAUUUACUGGGUGUAAAGGGCGUGUAGGCGGGCCUGCAAGUCAGAAGUGAAAUCUGGGGGCUUAACCCCCAAACUGCUUUUGAAACUGUGGGUCUUGAGUGAUGGAGAGG
rnacentral:rRNA from 1 species